GUCUUCUUGAAAAUAAUUUGAAGUCUAACCUGCUCUAUGAAGUUUAAAUGGCCGCAGUAUAUUGACUGUGCUAAGGUAGCAUAAUAAAUAGUUUCUUAAUUAGAAGCUUGAAUGAAUGGUUUGAUGAGAAAAUUUCUUUUUUUUAAUUAUUGUAUUGAAUUUUAUUUUUAAGUAAAAAAGCUUAAAUUUGUUUAGGGGACGAGAAGACCCUAUAGAAUUUUAUAAAAGUUAAUAUUAAUAUUGUUUAGAAUUUAUUUUUUAAUAAAGACUUUUAUUUAGUUGGGGUGACUAAAAAAUUAAAAUAACUUUUUUUAUAAAAUUUACAUUGUUAUUGGUUGUUUGAUCCACUAUUAUGUGAUUAAAAGAAUAAAUUACCUUAGGGAUAACAGCGUUAUAAUUUUUUAGAGUUCAUAUUAAAAAAAUUUAUUGCGACCUCGAUGUUGGAUUAGAAAAUCUUUUAGGUGCAGAAGCUUAAAAAGAAGGUCUGUUCGACCUUUAAAUUUCUACA
rnacentral:rRNA from 1 species